rnacentral:rRNA from 1 species
AAACCAACUGGGAUUGCCUUAGUAACGGCGAGUGAAGCGGCAAAAGCUCAAAUUUGAAAUCUGGUACCUUUGGUGCCCGAGUUGUAAUUUGGAGAGUACCACUUUGGGACUAUACUUUGCCUAUGUUCCUUGGAACAGGACGUCAUGGAGGGUGAGAAUCCCGUAUGGCGAGGGUGUUAGUUCUUUGUAAAGGGUGCUCGAAGAGUCGAGUUGUUUGGGAAUGCAGCUCUAAGUGGGUGGUAAAUUCCAUCUAAAGCUAAAUACAGGCGAGAGACCGAUAGCGAACAAGUACAGUGAUGGAAAGAUGAAAAGAACUUUGAAAAGAGAGUGAAAAAGUACGUGAAAUUGUUGAAAGGGAAGGGCAUUUGAUCAGACAUGGUGUUUUGCGCCCCUCGCUCCUUGUGGGUGGGGGACUCUCGCAGCUCACUGGGCCAGCAUCAGUUUUUGCGGCAGGACAAAACCUUUGGAAUGUAGCUGUUCACUUCGGUGCGCAGUGUUAUAGCCAUUGGGAAUACUGCCAGCGGGGACUGAGGACUGCGAUACUUGUUAUCUAGGAUGCUGGCAUAAUGGUUAUAUGCCGC